rnacentral:rRNA from 1 species
CGCGUAGGCGGCCUGUCAAGUCAACUGUGAAAUCUCCGGGCUUAACUCGGAACGGUCAGUUGAUACUGUCAGGCUAGAGUGCAGAAGGGGCAAUCGGAAUUCUUGGUGUAGCGGUGAAAUGCGUAGAUAUCUGGAGGAAUACCGGUGGCGAAGGCGGCAUCCUGGACCGACAUUGACGCUGAGGAGCGAAAGCUAGGGGAGCGAAAC